rnacentral:tRNA from 1 species
GGAGGGGUGCCCGAGAGGUUGAAGGGGCCGGUCUUGAAAACCGGUGUGCUCGCAAGGGUGCCGGGGGUUCGAAUCCCUCCCCCUCCGCCA